CCGAGUUUACAACUCCCAAACCCCUGUGAACAUACCAAUUGUUGCCUCGGCGGAUCAGCCCGCUCCCGGUAAAACGGGACGGCCCGCCAGAGGACCCCUAAACUCUGUUUCUAUAUGUAACUUCUGAGUAAAACCAUAAAUAAAUCAAAACUUUCAACAACGGAUCUCUUGGUUCUGGCAUCGAUGAAGAACGCAGCAAAAUGCGAUAAGUAAUGUGAAUUGCAGAAUUCAGUGAAUCAUCGAAUCUUUGAACGCACAUUGCGCCCGCCAGUAUUCUGGCGGGCAUGCCUGUUCGAGCGUCAUUUCAACCCUCAAGCCCUCGGGUUUGGUGUUGGGGAUCGGCGAGCCCUUGCGGCAAGCCGGCCCCGAAAUCUAGUGGCGGUCUCGCUGCAGCUUCCAUUGCGUAGUAGUAAAACCCUCGCAACUGGUACGCGGCGCGGCCAAGCCGUUAAACCCCCAACUUCUGAAUGUGACCUCGGAUCAGGUAGGAA
rnacentral:rRNA from 1 species